AAUCAACGCUGGCGGCGUGCCUCAGACAUGCAAGUCGAACGCGAAAGUCCCCUUCGGGGGGCGAAGUAGAGUGGCGCACGGGUGAGUAACACGUAGGUAAUCUACCUUUGGAUGGGGAAGUAACAACCGGAAACGGUUGCUAAUACCGCAUAAUGCAGCGGCACCUAAUGGUGACAGUUGUUAAAGCGGGGGAUCGAAAGACCUCGCGUCUGAAGAGGAGCCUGCGGCGGAUUAGCAGUUGGUAAGGUAACGGCUUACCAAGGCAACGAUCCGUAGCCGGCCUGAGAGGGCGGUCGGCCACACUGACACUGACAU
rnacentral:rRNA from 1 species